UUUUUUUUCUGUGUUUUUUGCUUAGCAAUGCGUGUUUACUUGUUUUGCGUUUUCAAGAUUCAUUGCCUUGACUCUUCUUGUCGCCUCUUUUUUCGCCAUGUGUUCUGUGUCACAGGUGGCUCUUCUCGCCGUUCGAACCCCCCACGGGACACGCAGUCUAAACAAUACUGCAACCAAGAGGCGCCCGAGGGGUCUGCCACCUCAGGUCUGCCACCAAAGAAGAAGUCCUUCAAGAAGGUCGCUCACAAGGAUAAGAAGGUCAAUAUCCGAACAAUGUCCCCCAAUGACUUUCUGCAGUUUCGCACCAAGAACCCCUAUCUCAACGAGAGGGAAGUGAUCAAGGAUGUAGACCAUGUCUGGGUAAAGGACCAGUGCAGGAUCUACCGUGAUGUGGUAGCUCAUUUCAAGAAGAACUAUGUCUCUGUUCAGUGGAUUGACCUCACACAUCUUCAGCGGAACAUGGACUACUUUGGUGAUGCCCUCUCUCUGGUUGACAAAUUGGGCAUCAAGGACAUCAUCACCUUCAAGACGGAUUUUUAUCCCACUGCAGUUGCUCAGUUUUAUGUCAUAGUCCAUUUCUCUCCUGAUGCAGAGCGUUCCAUGGUGUGGAUGACUGGGUCCAAGAAGCUGACCGGUACCUGGCAGGAGUUCAUGCAAUUCCUUCACAUUGACUUCCAUGGUGCUGACACUCCUCUUGGGUUGCGUCCUCAUGCUGCAGCCACCGCCGAUAGGGCUCCCGCAAAGGACAGACUGCAGAAACUGUAUCUGAGGAAGGGGGUGCUUCCCAAGCACCUGGACAUCAUGCAUCGGAUCUUUCGCAACACCCUCUUCCCUCGGAGUGGUAACUUUGAUGAGGUCCAUGGCUCCUUGGCUGAGAUGUUGUUACUUUGUGAGGAGGCUAUGUCUCAGGAGUCUGCCCAGCUGGAUAUUUCUGAUGUGAUGUUCACAGAGCUCUGGAACUGCAUCAUCAUGCGUAAGGUUCCUAUCUACGGGCCUUACCUGUUCGCAUACAUUAGCCAUAAGUGGCAAGAGGCUUUUCCGGAGGAGCUGCUCUAUGCUCAGUCUGAUUACAUUGUGCAUGACCCGAUCAGGCUUCGCGUCAAGGACAAGUGGGCCAACCCAUCUACAUCCUCUCAGCACAUGGAUACUGAUACAGAGACUGCUGCUGACAGAGGAACCGCCUCUCAGUCCCGCUCGUCUGCCAUGCCAUCUUGGGCUAUCAAACUGCAGGACAAGAUGAUGACACUUUUCUGUAUGCAGGCCAAGGGUCAGUACCAGACACACGUGGCUCAGAAGCAGAGCCGCCAGAGGCAUAAGCGUGUUCUCAGGACCUUGGAUGUGGACAUCUCCAGCGGCUCAGAGGAUGACAUCACUCCUGAGGCUACUUGGAUGCAGGCUCAGGGGUACCAGUGGUCUGGCGAUGAGGCGGAAGAGGAGGAGCAGACCGACCAGGAGGGGACAUACGAGUCUGGUGAUCCUGAAGACGAGGAGUAGUUACCUGUGGCAUUAGGUGUGCCCCUUUUUGGUGUCUUGUGCCAAAGGGGGAGAGAGUCUAGGAUUUGCUUUCAUAUUCGAACUUUGCAUUGCUUUGCUUUAUUUCGUAUGGUUUGCUUCGAACUUGGUUUGCUUCUAGUUUGCUAUCUUUUGUGAGACAUGAUCUUAUGUGAGAUUUAUUUCCAUCAUAUGUUGUGAGUCAUAUGCCCCGUAUUGUCAUAUAUCUCUAUCUUUUAGUUCUCAUAUUAUUCUCUGUGCAAAUCCGGUAUUGUCAUCAAUCCACCAAAAAGGGGGAGAUUGUUGGGGCAUAGUUUAUGCCUAAGUGAUUUUGGUGAUUGAUGACAGUACCGUACAGGACUAACUGUGUGUGUUAAGGUUUCAGAUAACACACGUCAACGGCACAAGAUGACUCGUCUCCUCUCUCAUGGAUCGGAAGCAUGGCGCUCUCUACGAUUCUCUUUAUUUGAGUCAUAGGAAAGCCGUACUAUUAAGAGGGGAUCCGUAGUGGAAAGGUUUGGGUGGAAUCUAUCUUUACACACGCACACGUCACAUUCUCCCUUUCCUUUAUCUUUGGAGCGGCCCUCGCCUCUUUGUUUUAGCAUCUCUGCAAAAUGGUCCCCAGCGGUAGUACCGCUGGACUGCUAGCGGUAGUACCGCUGCAGCCAGCGGUAGUACCGCUAGCUGGCGGUAGUACCGCCCCUGGCCAGCGGUAGUACCGCUCCAGGUGCUUUGUUCCACCUACCUAGCGGUAGUUCGUGGACGGACCCUUUUGCGAAGACUUUCUCGGCGGUAGUAGUGUUUGUGCACUACCAAGGGGCCAACGGUAGUACCGCUGAUGUCAGCGGUAGUACCGCUGGAGGCCCAGCGGUAGUACCGCUGCAUCGAGCGGUAGUACCGCUCCUGUUCAGCGGUAGUACCGCUGCAGGCAGCGGUAGUACCGCUGGAGCUCGGGCAGAGAGUGGGAAAACGGUCUGAUUUUUCCCCCCACUAUAUAAAGGGUUCUUCUAGCUGAGGAACCCUAUCUCUUACCUCUCUAAGCUCCAUUGUUGCUCCCCAAGCUCAAAAGUGCCCGAUCUCUCUCCCUAGCCAAUCAAACUUGUUGAUUCUUUAGGGAUUGGUUGAGAAGGCCUAGAUCCACACUUCCACCAAGAGAAAAGUUGAUUCCCCCACCAAUCCCUUGCGGAUCUUGUUACUCUUGGGUGUUUGAGCAUCCUAGACGGUUGAGGUCACCUCGAAGCCAUAUUCCAUCGUGGUGAAGCUUCGUGGUUUAGUUGGGAGCCUCCAAGCUUUGUGUGGAGUUGCCCCAACCUUGUUUGUAAAGGUUCGGUCGCCGCCUUCAAGGGCACCUAUAGUGGAAUCACGGUACCUUGCAUCGUGCGAGGGCGUGAGGAGAAUACGGUGGCCUUAGUGGCUUUUUGGGGAGCAUUGUGCCUCCACACCGCUCCAACGGAGACGUACUUCCUGUCAAAGGGAAGGAACUUCGGUAACACAUCCUCGUCUCCAUCGGUUCCACUUGUGGUUAUCUCUAUCCUUUACUUUGUAUUUGCUUAUGCUUGUGACUAUAUCUUACUUGUCUUAAUAGCUCUNUAGCGUAGUUUGAUCUUGUGUAGUUUUUCCUUUGUUGUUUCUGGUGUUUUUCCGCACGCCUUUAUAACAGUGUUAUAUAUGGAUUUGGGGUAGGAGAACCCAAGGAAUCCAAUGGAGACACUAGUUUUCCAAUUCUGAAUAGUUCUGCAGAAGUGUCACUUUGUGAUGAGGUGGCACUUGGUUACCUUGUAGGUUGGAGUAAGAGCAUAGUUAGGGAUUGAACAUCCAUGCAUCAUUUAUUUAGUGCUUCCUGUUGUGCAUGUCUCUUGAAUGUAGCUCCGUUCUUUGUUCCACGUGUUAACUGACUAGGAUGACAUGUAGAAUCACCGCUUCACCUCUUGUCAUGUUUAACCACAUUUAAUAUUGCCGUGUAUCUAAUCGGGAGUGAACUAAACAAUCAAAUGUGGAGUUUCGUCAAUAUGCAACUCGUUGCAUAUUGAACUUCACUUAAUGUGUAGUGUUUGAUUGUGUGAAUUGUCAUGCCGUGUCUUGCAUGUAUUCAGCUGCUCAUGCAUCAUUUGUGUUGUUGCAUCGUGUGGUGAAUUCUGUGUGUUGAUUUGUGUUUCCGGUUUGCUUCGCCUCGAUAGAGUUCUGCAGCGUGCCGGAUUGUGAGGACCCCCUACGUCGGUUCGUCUGCUUCACGGAGCCAUUCUUCUUCCAAGCGGGAUCUCAGGCAAGAUGACCAUUUCCCCAGAUACCAUUACUAUCAUUGCCAUGCUAGUAUCACCGUUUCUAUCGAUUAUGUCUCAUUGCCUACCACAUGUUAAAUAUCAGCCUCUCAACAAUGCCAUGAUUACCUUCAACCUGUUCGACCUAGCAAACCACUGAUUGGCUAUGUUACCGCUUGCUUAACCCUGUUGUUAGCAUUGCUAGUUGUAGGUGCAGUUGCUUCCAUGUGAUAACAUGGGUUCCUUGUCAUAUCACCAUAUUUAAUGCUAUUUAAUUUAAUGCACCUAUAUACUUGGUAAAAGGUGGAAGGCUCGGACUUUCUAGCCUGGUGUUUUGUUCCACCUUUGCCCCUUAGUUUCGGCUAUCGGUGUUAUGUUCCAUAAACGAGCGCUCCUAACACGAUCGGGGUUGUUAUGGGGACCCCCUUGAUAAUUCGUUUUAGAUUAAAGCUGGUCCGGCAAGGCCCAACAUUGGUUUUACAUUUGCCCAACAUAAUAAUUUUGUUAACACUGAAAUGCAUAGGGCGUCAUGAACCCGAGGAGUAAUUUUACAUAAACAGAGGGGGCCAGUGCUGAUGGUGUUGGUCCCAAACGGUCUGCCUACGGGGCCACCACGGGGAAACUCGAGGUUUGGCACCCGUAGCUAGUUCCAUCCGUCGUGUCCUGAGAACGAGAUACGCGGCUCCUAUCGGGAUCGUCGACACGCCGGGCGGCCUUGCUGGAUUAGUUUUACCUUUGACGAGAUAUCUUGUGCAUCGGGAUUCCGGUGAUGCUUUGGGUAAUCUCAGAGUUGAGGUUUUCCACUAUGGAAUCCGACGAGAUCGCGAGUAUCGCGAUCGAGGAUUCCUAUGCGGCUUGUGGUAAUUUGUGAUGGACUAGUUGGAGCACCCCUGCAGGGUUAAAUCUUUCGGAAAGCUGUGCCCGCGGUUAUGUGGCAACGUGGAAACUUUGUUUAACACUGGUUCUAGAUAACUUAAAGUUAACUUAAUUAAAAUAUGCCAACCGUGUGCGUAACCGUGACUGUCUCUUUUGUGAGUUCCUUCUCCGAUCGAGGACACGGUGGGGUUAUGUCUGACGUAGGUAGGUGUUCAGGAUCAUUCAUUUGAUCAUCAGUAGUUCACGUCCGUUAUGCGUAGAUCAUCGCCCUCUUAUUUCUUGUACUCGUAAGUUUAGCCACCAAAUAUAUGCUUAGUCGCUGCUGCAACCUCACCAAUUAACCUGAUCUCACCCAUUAAGCUUUGCUAGUCUUGAUACCUUUGGAAAUGAGAUUGUUGAGUCCCCUGUGGCUCACAGAUUACUACAACACCAGUUGCAGGUACAGGUAAAGGUUACUUGACGCGAGCGCGUUGAUUGUUCAUUUGGAGUUGCUUCUUCUUCUUCAUCAUCAUCGAUCUAGGAUGGGUUCCAGGCCGGCAGCCUGGGAUAGCAAGGAUGGACGUCGUUCUUAUUUUUCUCGUUUGUUUUCGUCCGUAGUCGGACCCUGUUCUUACUCUUGAUGAAUAUGUAAUGUACUGAUGUGACUCUGAUGUAGCUUGUGGCGAGUGUAAGCCAAUUCUAUAUAUAUCUCUUCUUUUCAGUACAUGUACUUGUAACGAUAUCCAUUCUUGCGACACGACGAGAUGCGCUUCUAUCCCUGACGAGGCCUUCGUGCCAUAUUGAGGAUAGGGUCGCAUCUUGGGCGUGACACCCUAGAUGUGACAUCCCCCCUAAGAGGGAUAAACUAACCUUGAGUUUUGUCAUAGAAGACUUCGGGUAGGUGUAGUAGUGGUGGAUUCUCAUUGUUGAUGAAGAUCAUCUUGAGUUGGGAUCAAUCCUUGUUAUUUCUUACACUUCUCACCUACAUGGGUUAGUCCCAAAGAAAAAGGAACAAAUGCAAGGAUAUUUAUGGACAUGGAGUGAAAUACAUGGGAGGUGAUGUCCAAAGAUGCAUUAAUUACCUUUCCCUUGCUCACCUUUUGAGGGAAUGUGUGACUACUUGAACUAAUGCAUGUGGUUGCACUUGAUUGCAUAUAGUUCUUGCCAAAAAUGAAUAGGAGUGAAUUUCGUUGGCGGAGUCACCCCUAAAGAACUUUCUAGUUCUUCCUCUUAGGGACACACAUCACCUAGAUGGGCAUCCUUGGAGUUGUGGUAGCACUAGAUGAGGUAGUACUAGAAGUGUCCUUGGGAACCCACUCGACCUUGGCUUGGGGUUCUUCCUCAAGUGAGUCAAUCUCCUCUUGAAGCUUUUCCUUGCCCUUGUGGUCUUGUGGUAGAAGGCCAUCUUGUAAGCUUGUUCCCUUGGGAGGAGUAGGAUCAUACUUCUCCUCUUGAGGAACAAACUUGGGAAUGGGGUAUGGACCUUCUUCCUAAACAUCUCCGUUGACGUUGAAGUAGCCAACACCAUGCUUCUUCCGAUGCCUCCUUGCUUGCGCACAAUUUCCUCGAAUUGCUUACUUCCGGCAAGACUCUUGAAGGCACCUCUCUCCUUAAUUCCUUUCAAUAAAUCGUUUUCUUGCUCGACUGUAACUUGGUUAAGAGAAUCAUUAGUGGAAUCAAUAGAGCUACUAGCAACAACAUCAUUUGAUCUAGCUUUAGCAUUGUUCUUACUAGAUGAAGAAACUUUCUUGCCUUUGUUACUAGUCUUCUUAGGUUUAACUUGUGGAACAAAAGCAGACAAGAGUAAUCGUUUGGCUAGAUAAUAGGAACUCUUCUUUCUAAGAUCAUCAUUGAUUGCUUUUAGGAACUCAUGCUCUUGCUCUAAAUUUAGCUUCUCGAAGUGUAGCUUUUCAUGAGUUCUUGCAAGCUCUCUAUGAUCUUCUAGAGUAGUUUCAUGAGCUAACUUAAGAGUGUCUGAUUCUUUAGUUAGUCAUUUAAUCUCUUUAUUAUCAUCAUCAAUCGAUUCCUCUUGACUAGCAUGAAUAUUUUCAAGUUCAUUUUCAAUCUUACCACUAGUCUUAUCAAAGAGAAAGCCAUCAUCUCUUAACAAGUCAUCCUCAUCACUAUCAAAGUCAAAGUAUUCGGGGUGUGAUACCUUGGGGACUUUUUCCAUGAAGCAUUUUCCAAUCCCUUCAUUUGGUGAAUCAAAUAAGUCACGGGAGUUGGAGGAAACAAGUGCAAUGUCGGCAACACCUUCAUCUUGACUGUAGUCGGAGUUGGAGUGAUAACUUCUCUCGGAGUGGUUGUCAGACUGGGAGCCGGAAACCCAUUCACCAACGUGAGCUUGAUGUCUUCUUCUUGAACUGCUCUUGGUGUACUUGUCCUUCUUCUCCGAUUCUUUGCCUCUCCGGGAGUGUAUUCAUUCACAAUGAUCUUCUCUACUCCUUCUCUCUCUAUGAGGUGACUCAUCUCUUGAGCUUUGUCUUCUAGGUGACUCUUCUCUUCGUUUGUGGGGAGCCGAGCACUCAUUGGAAAAUUGUCCGGGCUUUUCCCAGUUGUAGCAAUUUCGAUCACAACUAGACGAACACUUCUCAUCAUAUCUUGAGCUUGAGCUUCUCUAUUUGCCUCUACUCUUGUAGAACUUGUUGAAUUUUCUCACCAUGAGGCUCAUCUCUUCAUUAGUAAAAAGGUUGUCACUUGAAGUAGCGGGUGCAUCGACUGAAGCUUUGUAAGCACCGCUUGACUUGUUGUGCAACUCAUCUUUGUCUUUGAGAGACAUUUCAUGAGCAACAAUCCUCGAUUUCACUUCUUCUCGGUAGUUCCAUUUCGGAGUGGCGAUGUUUUGUUCGGCUACUUCCUGGAUUCGAUCUUUUUUAAAGCGGGAUUCCAUGCAAGAUGAUCAUUACCUUAGAUAUCAUUAUUAAGUCUACUUGAUAGAUGGUUUGGUGCUAUCGUUUAGUCUCGCUACCAUUUGUUUGCAAGCCUCCCAAUUGCUAUGAUAAAGUUGUUAACCUUCACUAUUCUAGCAAACCUUUGUUUGGCUAUGUUAUUGUUUGUCCAACCCUCGCACAGCGUUCCUAGUUGCACAUGCAGGUUGUUCCACGUUGGGACAUGGAUAACAUGGGAUAUCACUAUAACAUGCUUACCUAAUUGAUCCAUCUAUACACUUGGAAAAGGAUGGAAGGCUUGACCUUUUGCCUUGUGUUUUGUUCCACUCUUUCUGCCCUAGUUUCCGUAAUACCAGUGUUACGUUCCUUGAUGAGCGCUCCUAACGUAUGUGGGGUUUAUAGGCCCCCUUGAUCACUUUGUCUCUGCGUUGAACUUUUACAUUGAGGUCCAACAUUGGUUUUAACAUUUGUCGCAUACAUUCGCAUAGGGUGUCAUGUCCUCGAGGAUUGAAUCAUACACGAGUGGGCCAGUGCUGAGGGUGUUGUUCUAAAACAACCUAGCAGCCUACGGUGCCCCUAGAAAGCAGGCUCUCAUCUAAUUGUAGCCUUUGCAUAGACGAUGGAGACUGAGGACGAGUGCGCGCGGCUCCUAAGAGGGAUCGACACAUCAGGUGGUCUCUCUCAACUAGUUUUACCUUAUGUAGAGGACUUUUUACUCUCAACUCGUGGAACGCAUGUGGCUAUCCACGGGGUUGUAACGGCCUAUUUGAACUUGGAGUAACAGAUAUGCUUAUGAUAAUUUUGUAAUUGGACGAGUUGAAGCACCCCUGCAGGCUUAAACUUGUCGGGAAGUCGUGCCCGCGGUUAUAUGACCACUUACAAAUUUAUAACCUCUCGUUGUAGAGAACUUCAAAGUAAAACUAAUUAAAACUUGUCAACCGCGCGUGAUUGUCUCCUGUUGUGAGGUUAAAUCAAGAAGAGAACACAAUGAAUCUAUAAUUGACUCGUAAGUAGGUGUUGAGUAUUACUUCUUGAUCAUACUAGAUUGUACCCGCUUAUGCGUAGAAAUUACUCUUCUUGUUCUAGUACCCGUAAGAUUAGUUGGUUUAUAUAUGCUUAGGGCUUGCUGCAACCUCACCACUUAACCAUUCCACAUUCACUAUUGUAUUCUUAGUCAUGUUAUUCUUGAUAAUGAGAUUCUUGAAUCACAAAAGGCUUAUAGAUUAUUACAACACCAGAUGCAAGUACUGAUAAAGCAAUGUUCUAACAUGCAAGCGAUGUGUUGUUCUAUUUUAAGUUUUUCUUCUUUUUCUUUGAUAAUCGUAGGAUGGGUUAUCGGUUAACAGUGUGGAAUUAGCAGGUCAACAUUGCUUCCCUUUAUUUGGGGCCUCUUAGGCCAAUUUGCUUCUUAUCUAUACUCCGGUCUUGUCUUAUUGUAUGAUGAUUGUCAUGUAUGGGCCUCUUAGGCCAAUUUGCUUCUUAUCCGGACUCAAGCCAUGUCUUAUUGUAUGAUGAUUGUCAUGUACUGUUGGAUUGUACAUAUUACUUAUGUUAUAGCUAUCUUUUUUGUGACAAGUGUAAUUCAACUUAAAUGCGCAUAUCUCAAUUCUGCUUAUAUGAUAUUAUGUUAUGAUACCCACCUUAUUACCAACAUGACACAUGUUGAAGCAGACUCUAAUAUGCAUUUCUAUCCUUAGUGAGGAUCACAAGUCUCGGCUAGGACCACAUAUUGGAUGUUACAUACAUAUACUAUCAUACACUUCUUUCUUUAUCACGCACUACCGUACACACCAAUUGAUAAAUGGGAAAAUCUAUCUGGUGUAGUGCGCACGCACGUCUUCUCGUGCGGCACUAUGAACCGAGCGUCCGAUUCCCCUUAGAUGUGUCUGAUCUGCCCAAUGAAGGUUUACUUUUUCAUGGCAUGUUAUGGAAUGAGCGACACAGACGCCAAGACCAUAUAAGGCGCUACAGAACUCUGCCACAUGGAAUCACUAGAACCAUAUAAGGCGCUACAGAACUCUGCCACAUGGAAUCGCUAGUACACGACCUGCUGAAAUAUUUGCUACUACAGUGAUUUGCUACGUGCGCUAAUACAGUACGUAAAAUUACCAUUUCAUCCUGCGUGCUAUGAAUAACGUAAUAUUUUUUACAACGAUCACACAUCCCUUAUGCGGGUAAUUCAUUGCUUCUAAAUGAUGUUUGUUAGUACUAAACUUUGCUUCUAUCACUUAACAAGUGAACAUUAUAGAGUAAUGCCAACAAAGUUUUUUAAUAAGUUGCCAAUGUUGAUUCUGAAUGUACUCGUCAUGUUUGAUUAACGAAAAGUUUAUUUCCUCAAAAAAAAGGGUUGCCAGUAAUGUUAGGCCUUGCAAAAAACCUGGGAAUAAACUACGUAGGUAAUUUCAAAAAAAUCCGGCACAUCGAAUCAAAGUGGCAACUAUGUGUAGUAACUGUUUUAGAAAUAACAUGACAAGUUUUAAUAAGUUGCCAGUGUUGAUUCUGAAUGUACUCAUCAUGUUUGAUUAAUGAAAAGUUUCUUUCCCAAAAAAAAAAGUUGCCAGUAAUGUUAGGCCUUGCAAAAAACCUGGGAAUAAACUAUGUAGGUAAUUUCAAAAAAAUCCGGCAAUCGCAUCAAAUCAAAGUGGCAACUAUGUGUAGUAACUGUUUUAGAAAUAACAUGACAAGUGCUUCCAAAAAACCUGACAAUUCUAUAAAAAACAAUCAAAUGGGUGAUGUUAAAAAAAUCGGGCAACCACAUUGGAGCAAACCAACAACCGUACAAUCUGGCAACGGUAUAAAAACAGCCAUGUAAGCAGUAUUCCAAAAAAGAAGAAAAAAAAAGGGUUUAAACAGUAGAUAAGAGCCAAGCGAAAGAAAGGAGAGCAAUAAAAUNAAAAAAGGGUUUAAACAGUAGAUAAGAGCCAAGCGAAAGAAAGGAGAGCAAUAAAAUGGAAAACAUUAAACCACACAAACAAUUUUAUACACAAUCAUGCGAGGUUGAAGUAUUUAAUACAUUUGCCAAAUUACUUCACUAUAUGCUACUAUAACUACUGCACUGUCCAUUUCUGCGCAUCUCUUGUUUACUCGUUCUCACGGAACACUGAAAAUCAAAGUACAAACUACAGUCACGGAGAUGAGAACAUAUGCUCAUUAUUAUUCACUAUAAGAUGGUAAUCUCAGCCUUGAAUUUAACCACCAGGGGCUGCAAUCGCCACUUUUGUAUAAUGGCAAUCUUGGCAUUGAACUUACCCGCUAGGCGCUGCAAUGGCUAUAUCUUCAAUACUACUUUUGUCGAACAUUAUCNNNN
rnacentral:lncRNA from 1 species